CUCCACGUUCGCCUCCCAGCUGCGGCCUCCCAAGAUCCAGGAACCUCAAAACCUAGGAGCCAGAGAGGAGAGUGUCUUGGCAUGAGAAUUCCCAGAGUCCACAUCCCCCUUCCAAGAUCCCUGAACGGCAGGGGGAGCCUAGGCAGUGGCUCCAAGGGAACACGGCUUUCAUUUUUGAUGAUGUUCCGUGAUCGACUGUUGUUAAUAAACUGUGGGAUUUCAAAGCUGCACUGGACAGCCUCUCUAGCCUGGAAUCCGGAA